GCCGAAAAUAUAAUUCCUGGAGUUGCCAACAACGCCAAACGGUAUUUUCUCUAUGGUAGUUUCAACAUGUGACAUGUGCCCAGCUGCGCAGCCGUGUGCUCUUCACUGAAAUAUGGCAGCCUCCCGUCGCCAAGUGUUGAGGCUUUACAAGGAGUUGAUGCGCGAGUCUGGGCAGUUCAAGAACUACAUUUAUAGGUCUUAUGCAUUGAGACGUGUGAGAGAUGCUUUCAAGGAGCAUAAAGCUGUUCAGGAUAUAGAUGAAGUCAAUGAGCUUCUGGAUGAUGGACUGAAAAACUUGGAAAUCAUCAAACGGCAGGUGGUCAUUGGCAAGCUCUACAAGGCUUCUGACUUGGUCAUUGAAAAGCAGUUCGCACAGCAGCGAUGACUCUGUGAAGCCAUCCUUUGCUGUAGCUUUCUGUAUAUUGUGUACUGUUCCUGCAUCCUGGUCACAACCCAUCCUGGUUUUUUCAAGCUCUGGGUGUCGGUGUGAUCUGGACGACAGGGCCUUGAGGUUGCUGCUUCCCUGCAUAAAAAAUAAUUGGGCAGUCUUUAGAGAUAGCAUGUCUGUAGACGGAAUAAAAUAUGUUAGUGGUUAGCAGGC